UACGUAGGGACCAGGCGUUGUUCGGAUUUACUGGGCGUAAAGGGCGCGUAGGCGGCGCGGUAAGUCACUUGUGAAAUCUCUGAGCUUAACUCAGAACGGCCAAGUGAUACUGCAGUGCUAGAGUGCGGAAGGGGCAAUCGGAAUUCUUGGUGUAGCGGUGAAAUGCGUAGAUAUCAAGAGGAACACCUGAGGUGAAGACGGGUUGCUGGGCCGACACUGACGCUGAGGCGCGAAAGCCAGGGGAGCAAACGGG
rnacentral:rRNA from 1 species